AUUGAACGCUGGCGGCAGGCCUAACACAUGCAAGUCGAACGAGUGGCGGACGGGUGAGUAAUGUCUGGGAAACUGCCUGAUGGAGGGGGAUAACUACUGGAAACGGUAGCUAAUACCGCAUACCAUCGGAUGUGCCCAGAUGGGAUUAGCUAGUAGGUGGGGUAAAGGCUCACCUAGGCGACGAUCCCUAGCUGGUCUGAGAGGAUGACCAGCCGCACUGGAACUGAGACACGGUCCAGACUCCUGCGGGAGGCAGCAGUGGGGAGUAGUGCACAAUGGGCGCAAGCCAGAUGCAGCCAUGCCGCGUGUAUGAAGAGGGCCUGCGGGUUGUAGAGUACUUUCAGCGGGGAGGCGUUACCCGCAGACGAAGCACCGGCUAACUCCGUGCCAGCAGCCGCGGUAAUUC
rnacentral:rRNA from 1 species